rnacentral:rRNA from 1 species
ACGAGACCUUAACCUGCUAAAUAGUCAGGCCGGCUUUUGCUGGUCGCAGACUUCUUAGAGGGACUGUCAGCGUCUAGCUGACGGAAGUUUGAGGCAAUAACAGGUCUGUGAUGCCCUUAGAUGUUCUGGGCCGCCCGCG